rfam:Plicaturopsis crispa FD-325 SS-3 unplaced genomic scaffold PLICRscaffold_8, whole genome shotgun sequence.
UGCCCCAUGGCUAAGUUGGUCAAAGCGUCCGACUGUUACAGCAUCAGUACUACUGGCAUCGGAAGGUCCUGAGUUCGAGCCUCAGUGGGGCAG